rnacentral:lncRNA from 1 species
AGAAGGUUCGAUCAAACCAAACCUUUGAAAUUGUGUUAUCUUGGGCUUGUCCGGCGACACCCACUGUGUCGUUCUCGAAAUUGUCUCUUCCAUUCCGGUUCAUUGUCGGAUUCGUUCUGUUGUUUGCGGUUUCGUGCCGUAUCUUGAUUUUGUCUCGGUGAUUCUCGAUUUGAAGGAUUGAGAUCGUGAUUCUCGAUAUUGUUCUGGAUUGUCGUUACUUGUGUGUGACUCUGAGUUUUGCUGCCGUCUCUUGAUUCUCGGUGUUGUUCAGGAUUGACGUUGUUUAGGUUCAAGAUUGACGGUUUUGCUUUGACAUCGUUAUUUCGUAUUUGCGAUCGAUUUUGAUCGGUGACUUCUCACGAUUUUGAUUCAUUGCUGCCAUUUACGACUCUGCAAUCGCAACAGUUGUUUCCUUUGUUACGGUAUUGGGUAUUUAGGUUUCUAAGGUUAUUUUGUAUUCCUUUCCCUUUUUUUUNNNNNNNNNNNNNNNNNNNNNNNUGUAAUUAGUUAUGAUUAGUCAUUAUGAGUUGUAAUUACCGACACUAUUAUAUAUAGUAUCAAAUACAAUGAGAAAGGCAUCAAGCCAGAAUUUAUAACAUGGUAUCAGAAGGUUCGAUCAAACCAAACCUUUGAAAUUGUGUUAUCUUGGGCUUGUCCGGCGACACCCACUGUGUCGUUCUCGAAAUUGUCUCUUCCAUUCCGGUUCAUUGUCGGAUUCGUUCUGUUGUUUGCGGUUUCGUGCCGUAUCUUGAUUUUGUCUGGGUGAUUCUCGAUUUGAAGGAUUGAGAUCGUGAUUCUCGAUAUUGUUCUGGAUUGUCGUUACUUGUGUGUGACUCUGAGUUUUGCUGCCGUCUCUUGAUUCUCGAUGUUGUUCAGGAUUGACGUUGUUUAG